GAUGAAGAACGCAGCGAAAUGCGAUAAGUAAUGUGAAUUGCAGAAUUCAGUGAAUCAUCGAAUCUUUGAACGCAUCUUGCGCUCCUUGGUAUUCCUUGGAGCAUGCCUGUUUGAGUAUCAUGAGCAAACCUCAAAGUCAAUUCCUUUUGUUAAUUCAAUUGGUUUUGCUUUGGACUUGGAGGUCUUGCAGAUUUCACAGUCUGCUCCUCUUAAAUGCAUUAGCUGGAUCUCAGUAAUUAUGCUUGGUUCCACUCGGCGUGAUAAGUAUCACUCGCUGAGGACACUGUUAAAAAGGUGGCCAGGAAAAUACUGAUUGAACCGCUUCUAACGGUCUAUUAAGUUAGACAAUUACCCUUAAGUUUGAUCUCACAUCAGGUAGGACUACCCGCUGAACUUAAGCAUAUCAAUAAGCGGAGGA
rnacentral:misc_RNA from 1 species